CGGCGCCGCGCAGCUGCCGGGAGCGGCGCCGCGAGCCGGGCAGGAGCGCGUGGCAGCGUCCCGUACGGCCCGGUUUGUAUUUAUGUGGAUGCCUUGUCAAGCACAAGUGGGAUCUGCGGCAGCUCGGGCACCUGCGGGAGCUGUCAACACGGGGAACAGAGGGUUUCCCACUGCGCCUUGCUGGGAUUUUGGUGGUGGCAAACGUCAUCUUGGAAGUGCAGACACCGAAAAUCAUGGGAACACGUAUCAGAACGCCGAAGUGGCCGAUCGCAAGAGGGAUACUUUUUCUCCCCUUUCCUGUUCCCCGUGAUUAAUAAGCUAACAUACGUGGCAAGGGAAUAAGGCAGGAGCACAUGAAGAGCAGGUACAUCCCUUUCUUUGUGGUUGCAGGUACUGCAGAACAGCCCUAGCAUAUACAGGACACAUACUUGGAUGGACACUCACCACAGGAACAUUUCACCUCCAGCUGCUUACCCACGCCCUUUCAGAAGCUUCACAAGAGCCCAGCUACCAACCAAGGAUGUUGAAUAUCCUCCCAGAACACCAGCUGCACCAGGACCUGAAAAAGAGCUCUGCAGUGUUGGACCUCACCAAGGCAGACAA